rnacentral:rRNA from 1 species
AAUGAACGUUGGCGGCGUGGAUUAGGCAUGCAAGUCGUACGGACUUUUGAGAGCUUGCUCUUGGAAGUUAGUGGCGGAAGGGAUAGUAAUGUAUGGAUAACCUACCCUCAGGUUGAGGAUAGCGGCGGGAAACUGCCGGUAAUACUCGAUAAUAUCUCCGGAUCAAAGGUGUGAUUCCGCCGGAGGAUGGGUCCAUAUCCUACUAGCUAGUUGGUAAGGUAACGGCUUACCAAGGCUUAGAUGGGUACCGGGCGUGAGAGCGUGACCCGGAUCACUGGGACUGAGACACUGCCCAGACACCUACGGGUGGCUGCAGUCGAGAAUCUUCGGCAAUGGACGAAAGUCUGACCGAGCGACGCCGCGUGUGUGAUGAAGGCCUUCGGGUUGUAAAGCACUUUCGUUUGGGAGGAAAUGUAUGAGGGCUAUCCCUUGUACUUGACCUAUCUUAGGAAGAAGCUCGGGCUAAGUUCGUGCCAGCCGCCGCCGUAACAC